CACAGCGCACGCUGCUAUCCAGUGCCAUCCAACCGACAAGCAGGCUCAUAAACAUGACGCUGUGCCCCGGCCCACCUUACUCACCAGUCCUGGGGGAUUUGUGGCUCUUCCAGGUGUGGUAGUGCAUGCCUGGAAUUCCAGCCCUGGGGAGGCUGAAGCAGGAGGAUCACUGGAAGUUUGAGGCCAGCCUGGGCUACAAAGUGAGUUCAAGGCCAGUCUGAACUGCAUAGUGAAACCCUGUAUCUAAGAAAGAAAGAAAGAAAGAAAGAUUUGGGUGGAUUCUGGGCCCAGGGAUGCUGCCUAGAGCCCCUUCCUCUCAGUGUCCCCAUCAGGGUAUCCGCUUCUCCUCAGCAUCGGGGAGCUGUGUGCUGUUUCCUCACUGAGGGGCUUGUCCUGAGGCCACCGCGGCUUGUCUUCCUGCCAGGUACAAACUAGUGGAGCUCCUAUGCUACGUGGUGGUGGGCUUUUUCCCGGCCCUGGUCGUCCUCUCCAUGGCCAGUUUUGUUUGGAUAUGGUCUUACUCUCCGCAUGACCAGCCACCGAUCUCCUUCACCUUUCGUGAAAUUCACAUGCACAAGCGGCUCUCAUCACGCAGCCUGGCUGUGCUCUGCUCUGCUGGGGAAUCCGGGCCGGGACCUCGCCUGCGCGAGGUGAGCGCUGUGCUGUGGAGCUGCGGCCCCAGCCUUGGCCUAUUCUUGUGCAAGGCUGCAGCUGUUUCCCGACGUGGCCUCACUGCACGUUGGUCUUUGGCAGUGCACUCUGGUCCCGCCUUUCUCCCCUGUCACUUCCCGCUGUCCCUUUGGACUUGUAUUUAUGCUCCAGAUUGUCUUUCUCCCUCCAAGUUACUUUUAGGUAAGCGUAUGUGUUAUAGCUAUCAAGUUGGAAGACAUUCAUCAUAUCAUGUAUGAAAUGUUUACACACACAUAUGUACGUAUAAUAAAUGUAUAUUUAAUCAUA